rnacentral:lncRNA from 1 species
AAAACAAGUGGGAUUUGGGGCUGUUUGGGAGAGAAAAAGUGGGAUUCUUGGGGAAAAGGGAAAACAAAAGCUGGGAUUUUGGGUAGUUUGUGAGGGAAAAUGUGGCGAUUUGAGGGGAAAAGUGGGAAAUUUGGGGCUGAGCGUUUGGGAGACUAACAAAAUGGGAUAUAUGAAGGAAAAAGUGGGAUUUUGGGCGGCUUUUGUGAGAAAAAAAUGUGGGAUUUUGAGGGGGGAAAGUGGAGUUUGGGGCUGUUUGGGAGGAGAAAAGUGGGAUUUUUGGGGAGAAAAAGUGGGAUUUGGGGCUUUUGGGGAGAGAAAAAGUGGGAUUUUUGGGGAGAAAAAGCUGGAAGUUUAA